rnacentral:rRNA from 1 species
AACGAACGCUGGCGGCAUGCCUAACACAUGCAAGUCGAACGAGACCUUCGGGUCUAGUGGCGCACGGGUGCGUAACGCGUGGGAACCUGCCCUUAGGUUCGGAAUAACUCCCCGAAAGGGGUGCUAAUACCGGAUAAUGUCUUCGGACCAAAGAUUUAUCGCCUUUGGAUGGGCCCGCGUUGGAUUAGCUAGUUGGUAGGGUAAAAGCCUACCAAGGCGACGAUCCAUAGCUGGUCUGAGAGGAUGAUCAGCCACACUGGGACUGAGACACGGCCCAGACUCCUACGGGAGGCAGCAGUGGGGAAUAUUGGACAAUGGGCGAAAGCCUGAUCCAGCAAUGCCGCGUGAGUGAUGAACGCCUUAGGGUUGUAAAGCUCUUUUACCCGGGAUGAUAAUGACAGUACCGGGAGAAUAAGCUCCGGCUAACUCCGUG